ACACAUGCAGUCGAACGGUAACAGCGCAAGCAGCUUGCUGCUUCGCUGACGAGUGGCGGACGGGUGAGUAAUGUCUGGGAAACUGCCUGAUGGAGGGGGAUAACUACUGGAAACGGUAGCUAAUACCGCAUAACGUCGCAAGACCAAAGAGGGGGACCUUCGGGCCUCUUGCCAUCGGAUGUGCCCAGAUGGGAUUAGCUAGUAGGUGGGGUAACGGCUCACCUAGGCGACGAUCCCUAGCUGGUCUGAGAGGAUGACCAGCCACACUGGAACUGAGACACGGUCCAGACUCCUACGGGAGGCAGCAGUGGGGGAAUAUUGCACAAUGGGGCCCAAGCCUGAUGCAAGCCAUGCCGCGGGUAUGAAGAAGGCCUUCGGGUUGUAAAGUACUUUCAGCGGGGAGGAAGGGAGUAAAGUUAAUACCUUUGCUCAUUGACGUUACCCGCAGAAGAAGCACCGGCUAACUCCGUGCCAGCAGCCGCGGUAAUACGGAGGGUGCAAGCGUUAAUCGGAAUUACUGGGCGUAAAGCGCACGCAGGCGGUUUGUUAAGUCAGAUGUGAAAUCCCCGGGCUCAACCUGGGAACUGCAUCUGAUACUGGCAAGCUUGAGUCUCGUAGAGGCGGGUAGAAUUCCAGGUGUAGCGGUGAAAUGCGUAGAGAUCUGGAGGAAUACCGGUGGCGAAGGCGGCCCCCUGGACGAAGACUGACGCUCAGGUGCGAAAGCGUGGGGAGCAAACAGGAUUAGAUACCCUGGUAGUCCACGCCGUAAACGAUGUCGACUUGGAGGUUGUGCCCUUGAGGCGUGGCUUCCGGAGCUAACGCGUUAAGUCGACCGCCUGGGGAGUACGGCCGCAAGGUUAAAACUCAAAUGAAUUGACGGGGGCCCGCACAAGCGGUGGAGCAUGUGGUUUAAUUCGAUGCAACGCGAAGAACCUUACCUGGUCUUGACAUCCACGGAAGUUUUCAGAGAUGAGAAUGUGCCUUCGGGAACCGUGAGACAGGUGCUGCAUGGCUGUCGUCAGCUCGUGUUGGGAAAUGUUGGGUUAAGUCCCGCAACGAGCGCAACCCUUAUCCUUUGUUGCCAGCGGUCCGGCCGGGAACUCAAAGGAAACUGCCAGGGAUAAACUGGAGGAAGGGGGGGAUGACGUCAAGUCAUCAUGGCCCUUACAACCAGGGCUACACACGUGCUACAAUGGCGCAUACAAAGAGAAGCGACCUCGCGAGAGCAAGCGGACCUCAUAAAGUGCGUCGUAGUCCGGAUUGGAGUCUGCAACUCGACUCCAUGAAGUCGGAAUCGCUAGUAAUCGUGGAUCAGAAUGCCACGGUGAAUACGUUCCCGGGCCUUGUACACACCGCCCGUCACACCAUGGGAGUGGGUUGCAAAAGAAGUAGU
rnacentral:rRNA from 1 species